GACGAACGCUGGCGGUGUGCUUAACACAUGCAAGUCGAACGGAAAGGCCCUGCUUUUGUGGGGUGCUCGAGUGGCGAACGGGUGAGUAACACGUGAGUAACCUGCCCUUGACUUUGGGAUAACUUCAGGAAACUGGGGCUAAUACCGGAUAGGAGCUCCUGCUGCAUGGUGGGGGUUGGAAAGUUUCGGCGGUUGGGGAUGGACUCGCGGCUUAUCAGCUUGUUGGUGGGGUAGUGGCUUACCAAGGCUUUGACGGGUAGCCGGCCUGAGAGGGUGACCGGCCACAUUGGGACUGAGAUACGGCCCAGACUCCUACGGGAGGCAGCAGUGGGGAAUAUUGCACAAUGAGCGGAAGCCUGAUGCAGCAACGCCGCGUGCGGGAUGACGGCCUUCGGGUUGUAAACCGCUUUCGCCUGUGACGAAGCGUGAGUGACGGUAAUGGGUAAAGAAGCACCGGCUAACUACGUG
rnacentral:rRNA from 1 species